AAAUCCAGAUCCAGUAUAAAAGGUCUGGUCAGCUCCUGCUCAGGCACCUUUCUCAGCUCAGCUCUCUUCGGUACCUGGACCCAGAGGAGGACCGCUCAACGUGAUGCUUCUCUCCCAAACACUCUGCCUGUGCUUGGCACUAGCACUCAGCUAUGCUGCUCCAGCGAUCCAUGAUGUAAUGAUGUCAGACCACGGCCACGACCACCACGAGGAUCAGGUCCACCACAACGCCAAACCAGACCGGUGUGACGGCAUCGAGUUUGACGCCAUCGCCCCCCGACGAGAAAGGACACACCUUCUUCUUCAAGGGGGAUCACCUGUGGAACGGCUUCAAUGGUCCAGCUCAGGUCUCCAGUGCCUUCUUCAGGGAGCUAGAUGACUACCAUCACCUGGGGCAUGUUGACGCUGCCUUCCGCAUGCACAACACAGAAAAACCUGAAGCACAUGAUCACAUCUACUUUUUCCUGGACGACAAGGUUUUCAGCUACUAUAACCACAGUCUGGAGAAGGGCUACCCCAAGGACAUCCAGCUGGACUUCCCAGGGGUGCCCAGCCACCUGGACGCUGCGGUGGAGUGCCCCAAGGGAGAGUGUAACUCAGACUCUGUCCUAUUCUUCAAGGGAGAAGAAGUGUACAACUAUGACAUCGCCACGCAGUCAGUAAAGGAGAGACAGUGGGCCCACCUGCCCAACUGUACGUCUGCCUUCCGUUGGCUAGAGCAAUACUACUGUUUCCAUGGUCACAACUUCACCCGGUUCCACCCUGUAUCUGGGGAGGUGAAUGGUGUGUACCCUAAGGACUCCAGGCACUACUUCAUGAGGUGCGGCAAUUUCGGCCACGACGGUGAGGCAAAGGUUCCCAAAUGCAGUGAAGUGACAUUGGAUGCCAUCACCGCAGACGACUCAGGCAAAACCUAUGCCUUCACUGGUCAUAUUUAUAUGCGUCUAGACACCCAUCGUGAUGGUAAACAUACCUUCCCCAUUGCCAGAACCUGGAAGGAAGUGGCCAACGGGGUGGAUGCAGUCUUCUCCUACAGUGACAAGCUCUACAUUAUCAAGGGCGACCAAGUUUACAUCUACAAAUCAGCAGCUCCCUCCGUUCUGAUUGAGGGCUACCCUAAAAGCCUGAAAGAGGAGCUGGGCAUCGAAGGGCCUGUUAACGCAGCCUUUGUUUGUGCAGAUCACCAUAUUGUGCACAUUAUUCAAGGACAGAUGAUGAAGGACAUUGACCUGUCUGCCACCCCUAGGGUAGUAGCCAGAGAGUCCCCACUGCCCAUCUCCGGCAUCGAGGCAGGCAUGUGUGGCCGUGAUGGAGUCAAAGUGUAUGUGGGCUCUGAGUACUACCACUACGAGGCCCUCACGCACCUGGCUUUCAUCAGGAUGCUCCAAGAGCCUAAAAGAAUCACCCCAGACAUGAUGGGCUGUGUCGAAUAGGAGUCAGUUUAUGUUAGAUACCUUUUCGAAGAAUAACAACUGUGAUCAUCUGUUUUCAAUGGACAACAUCAAAACGUAUAAUCACAUGUUAAAGUAACUGUCCAGUAAAUGUUUUCUGUUAACUCAUACCCAAAUAAUGUUGACUCAUCCUAUACUCUUUUCUGUGGCCAAAGCAUACAUUUGAGGAGAAAAAAACACUUCCGAAAUCCCAGGUAAAUGUUUUAUCUCAAACAGACCGUUUCAAAAAAGCUUGCUAUUUCCUCAAAGAGGAUGAUAUUAUCAGUGUUCUAAUCGCAUUCAUAUUUGUAAUGAUCAGUAUAUGCCAAAACCAUUCUGUUGUGUUGGGGUACCCACACAUCCUUUCCAACACAGAAAAGCUGCAUUUAAACAUACUUCAUUUUUUUAAAUGUGGAAGGAAAACUAUCUCAUAUUGGAAUGAAUUAUAGGACAUAUUUCAUAGAAAUCUGGAAACACUUGGCAGUUACUUUAACUUGACACCACAACUCACAAGUCACCCAAACAAUGUUUUUUAAGGUUCAAAUAAUAUUUUAUCGCAUUUUUGUUGAACAUUUGUGUAUGACAGAGAUGAGUUGAAUUAAAAAGAUACAAAGAA